rnacentral:rRNA from 1 species
UACGAAGGGUGCAAGCGUUACUCGGAAUUACUGGGCGUAAAGGGUGCGUAGGCGGUUCGUUAAGUCUGUCGUGAAAUCCCCGGGCUCAACCUGGGAAUGGCGAUGGAUACUGGCGAGCUAGAGUGUGUCAGAGGAUGGUGGAAUUCCCGGUGUAGCAGUGAAAUGCGUAGAGAUCGGGAGGAACAUCUGUGGCGAAGGCGGCCAUCUGGACCAGCACUGACACUGAGGCACGAAAGCGUGGGGAGCAAACAGG